GCUUACACAUGCAAGUCGAACGGGACUAUUAAAGGGGCAACCCUCCGAUACUUCUAGUGGCGAACGGGUGAGUAACACGUGAGAAAUCUACCCCUUAGACUGGGACAACCCGCCGAAAGGUGGGCUAAUACCGGAUGUGGUGCCCGGGUGCGAUCCCCGGGCAUUGAAGGAUGGCUGAGGCUUGCAAGCUAUCGCUAAGGGAUGAGCUCGCGCCUGAUUAGCUAGUUGGUGGGGUAAAGGCCUACCAAGGCGACAAUCAGUAGCCGGUCUGAGAGGGCGUACGGCCACACUGGAACUGAGACACGGUCCAGACUCCUACGGGAGGCAGCAGUGGGGAAUUUUCCACAAUGGGCGAAAGCCAGACGCAGCAACGCCGCGUGGAGGAAGACGGCCUUCGGGUUGUAAACUCCUUUUCUGGGGGAAGAUAUGGACGGUACCCCAGGAAGAAGUCUCGGCUAACUACGUGCCAGCAGCCGCGGUAAAACGUAGGAGACGAGCGUUAUCCGGAUUUACUGGGCGUAAAGCGCGUGCAGGCGGUUGGGCAAGUCGUGCGUGAAAGCUCCUGGCUUAACUGGGAGAGGUCGUACGAAACUGCUCGACUGGAGGGCAGGCGAGGGGUGUGGAAUUCCGGGUGUAGUGGUGAAAUGCGUAGAUAUCCGGAGGAACACCAGUGGCGGAGGCGACACCCUGGACUGUACCUGACGCUCAGACGCGAAAGCAUGGGGAGCGAACGGG
rnacentral:rRNA from 1 species